rnacentral:rRNA from 1 species
UCAUUGCUGGAACAAACGCCCUCACGGGUGCUACCCAGAAACCCUUUGUGAACUGUACCUCAUCGUUGCCUCGGCAUGGCUGGCUUCUUCUACAGGAGCCCCUCUGUCACCAGAGGAGCAGGCCGGCCGGUGGCCUCCUUAUAAACUCUUUGUUUUUGUGAAAUCAUCUGAGUACAACAACUAAAAAUGAAUCAAAACUUUCAACAACGGAUCUCUUGGUUCUGGCAUCGAUGAAGAACGCAGCGAAAUGCGAUAAGUAAUGUGAAUUGCAGAAUUCAGUGAAUCAUCGAAUCUUUGAACGCACAUUGCGCCCGGUGGUAUUCCACCGGGCAUGCCUGUUCGAGCGUCAUUUCAACCCUCAAGACUUCGGUUUUGGUGUUGGAGGAGUACCUGUCAUAGGGUACCCUCUCAAAUGUAGUGGCAGGCUCGCUAGAAUUUUGAGCGUAGUAAUUUUACCUCGCUUCGUAAAGACUAGUGAGACUCCUAGCCAGUAAACCCCCCUUCAAUAUUCUGA